AGAGUUUGAUCAUGGCUCAGAACGAACGCUGGCGGCGUGCCUAACACAUGCAAGUCGCACGAGAAAGCCCUUCGGGGUGAGUAGAGUGGCGCACGGGUGAGUAAUACGUAGGAACGUACCCUUCGGUGGGGGAUAACCACGGGAAACUGUGGCUAAUACCGCAUGACAAGGCAACUUUAAAGCAGGCCUCUACUUGUAAGCUUGUGCCGGGGGAUCGGCCUACGUCCCAUUAGCUAGUUGGUGAGGUAAUGGCUCACCAAGGCAACGAUGGGUAGCUGGUCUGAGAGGAUGAUCAGCCACACUGGGACUGAGACACGGCCCAGACUCCUACGGGAGGCAGCAGUGGGGAAUUUUGCACAAUGGGCGCAAGCCUGAUGCAGCAACGCCGCGUGAGUGAAGAAGGCUCUUGGGUUGUAAAGCUCUUUCGGCAGGAAAGAAGGGCUUCUAGGCGAAUAGGCUAGAAGUCUGACGGUACCUGAAGAAGAAGCACCGGCUAACUCCGUGCCAGCAGCCGCGGUAAUACGGAGGGUGUAAGCGUUGUUCGGAAUUACUGGGCGUAAAGCGCACGUAGGCGGGUCUUCAAGUCGAUUGUGAAAGCCCAGGGCUUAACUCUGGACGUGCAGUCGAUACUGUUGAUCUUGAAUACCUGAGAGGAUGGCGGAAUUCCCGGUAGGAGUGAAAUCCGUAGAUAUCGGGAGGAACAUCUGAGGCGAAGGCGGCCAUCUGGCAGUGUAUUGACGCUGAGGUGCGAAAGCGUGGGGAGCAAACAGGAUUAGAUACCCUAGUAGUCC
rnacentral:rRNA from 1 species